GACGAGGGAUCCUAGCGUUGUUCGGAAUUAUUGGGCGUAAAGCGGGUGUAGGUGGCUAUGUAAGUCAAGUGUGAAAGCCUGGGGCUCAACCCCAGAAGUGCAUUUGAUACUGCGUAGCUUGAGUGCUAGAGAGGAUAGUAGAAUUGUUGGUGUAGUGGUGAAAUACGUAGAUAUCAACAGGAAUACCGGUGGCGAAGGCGGCUAUCUGGCUAAGCACUGACACUCAGACCCGAAAGCGUGGGGAUCAAACAGG
rnacentral:rRNA from 2 species